AUGGCCUCUGCCGCCGCUGCUGCUGCUAGUGCUACCACCAGCAGCAAGAAGACGAUGCUGCGCGUCCUCAUCUUCCCCUUCUUCGCCACCAGCCACAUCGAGCCCUUCACUGACCUCGCCGUCCGCCUCGUCGCCGCUGGACCUGCAGUGGAGGCCACCGUCGCCGUCACGCCGGCCAACGUCCCGGUCGUCCAGUCCUUGCUCCGGAGACGUGGGCAGCCCGAGCAUGUCAAGAUAGCCACCUACCCGUUCCCGGCCGUGGACGGACUCCCGGAGGGCGUGGAGAACCUCAGCAGGGCCACGGAGGCCGACGCGUGGCGCAUCGACGCCGCUGCCCUGAGCGAGCAUCUGACGCGCCCGGCGCAGGAGGCUCUCGCCAGGGCGCAGUCUCCGGACGCGGUCGUCACCGACGUGCACUUCGCCUGGAACGUCCGCGUCGCCGGCGAGCUCGGCGUGCCGUGCGUCGCCUUCAGCGCCAUCGGCGCCUUCCCGACGCUCGCCCUGCACCACCUCGAGCGGGAGGACGUCGACAAUGGUGAUGUGGACGUCGCCACGGUCCCCCAGUUUCCGGGCCCUAGUAUCCGGGUACCCAGGGCCGAGCUGCCGGAGUUCCUGAGGGGCCGUGGUCGGUACUCCAUGAUCAGCAAGAUUGUUCCGGUGGAGGACUGCUUCUGCCAGGCCAUGAACACCUCGUUAGAGCUGGAGCGGCAGUACUGCGAGAUGUACAUGCUCCGUGGCUACGCGAAGCGCGCCUACUUCGUGGGCCCUCUCUUCUCGUCGUCCUCACCAUCCCAUUCCCCGGCCGGCGGCGUGGACGACCAACAGCCACCGUGCAUCGGCUGGCUGGACUCGAAGCCGGGCCGUUCGGUGGUGUACCUGUGCUUCGGCAGCCUGACCCACGUCUCCGACGCUCAGCUGCGCCAGCUCGCUCUCGGGCUGGAGGCCGCCGGGAAGCCGUUCCUGUGGGUGGUGAGGGACGCCGGGAACUGGACACCGCCGGAGGGGUGGUCCGAGCGUGUGGGAGACCGAGGGCUCCUCGUCACGGCGUGGGCCCCGCAGACGGCGAUACUGGGGCACCCGGCGGUUGGCGCGUUCGUGACGCACUGUGGGUGGAACUCCGUCCUGGAGACGGUGAUGGCGGGGGUGCCAGUGCUGACGUGGCCCAUGGUGUUCGAGCAGUUCAUCACCGAGAGGUUGGUGACGGAGGUGCUGGGCAUUGGGGAGCGCUUGUGGCCGUGCGGCGCCGGCCUGCGGAGCACCAGGCAUGAGGAGCACGAGGUGGUCCCCGCCGGAGACGUGGCACGUGCCGUGACGGCGUUCAUGCUCCCUGGAGGGGCAGGGGACGCGGCGAGGAGCAGGGUGAUGGACCUCGCCGCCAAGUGUCGUGCCGCCGUUGCGGAAGGGGGCUCCUCCCACCGUGAUCUGCGUCGUCUCGUCGAUGAUCUCAUGGAAGCAAGAGCCAAGAAGAACUGCCUUGCUUAA
rnacentral:rRNA from 1 species